rnacentral:lncRNA from 1 species
CGAGCGGAGCGGAGCGGCGCGGCGCGGCAGAUGACCUCACCAUGGCUGACAUGGCCCUUUGGAAGGUGUUGCUGUUGGUCAGUUGAUGCUCUAACUGCUGAUUCCUGCAGGUGAGGAGGCUGUUCAGCCCCAGGGUUGUGAGUCCAGGGUGCUGCCUCAGGCCCGGACUCCAGAUGCCAGACCACAGAUGGUUGUUGGCCGUCCCUUACCCUCUGCCCUCCAUCCGGUCCCUCACCAAGGCUCAUCAGUUUAGCCUCAGAGUGUAUCCUGAGUCAUCCUAACCCCUGGCUGCCCUCUCGGUGACUGCUCUUGCCUUUCUUUACUCUCCACACAGUUGCCAGAGUGAUUUUUAAAUAACAUGAGUCAAAUCCUUUUACCCCCCUGCUUAUAACCCCCACAAGUUUCUCACACAGUCUCCCAGGACCUCUGCCCUGCCGAGAAGCCCAGGCUUGGUCCUGCCUCAGGCAUCUGCUGCUUCCUGGGCAGGAGCCCUCCUUUCCCGGGCCCCCUAGAGUGGCUGUGGAGCAUCCAUGAGGUCUGGGCCAAUGCGGACAUCCAAGGAGGCUCUU